AAUUAUUCAAUAACACUGUGUGAAUAAGUGUAUCAAAAAAUGUAUUUGUGGAGUCCCAUACAUUGAAACUUGAUGUAUAUGAUGUUGUCAUUACAUUUACUGAUGGUAAUACAGGCAGAUUGAAAAAGCUAAGAGGUAAAAUAACCAUACUGAAAGAACUGAACAAGCAGAAAGUUAAUAAAGUACAGCUACAAGCCAAAAUAUUGUCUAAAAUGAUAAGAUUUUUGGAAAGAUGAAAGAGAAUUUAUUUGGAUAAUACAGAAGAAGAUGAACAUUACAGUGGUGAAUGGUUUUAACUGCUGUUUUUACUAAAACUUAUUUACUACACUGAGAAAGAAGGGAUGGAAAUUUCAAUAUGACAUAGUUAUAGUGAAAAGAAAUUGUACUUUAGUAAAUCUGGAUUUCUUGAUGACCGAUAGAACAAUAUUUAUAUAUAAUGUUUUCAUUGUUUUUCAUGUUGCGAUGAUUGUGAGAUUCAAUGAGAAAAUAAAAUCGACUACAACUAUUAA